UUAGUUAGCCAGACGAUCGCUUGCACUUGUGGUGAGAUGCAAGAGGAAAGUCCGAGCUCCACAGAACAAGGGCGCCAGUUAACUGCUGGUGGAGGCGACUUUAAGGAAAGUGCAACAGAAAUAAACCGCCAACAUUGUGUUGGUAAGGAUGGAAAGGUGCGGCAAGAGCGCACCGCCCUGUUGGUAACAAUGGGGGCACAUGUAAACCCCGCCCGGAGUAAGGUUAAAAAUGGCAAUGGGUUGUUCGCUCGCCAUUUAACAACACCGCUUGAGCGCAUUGGAGACAUUGCGCCUAGAUAGAUGAUCGUCAAAUACAGAACUCGGCUUAUAGACUAACUGACUGA
rnacentral:RNase_P_RNA from 1 species